rnacentral:rRNA from 1 species
GUAGGGAAUUUUGGACAAUGGGCGCAAGCCUGAUCCAGCAAUGCCGCGUGUGUGAAGAAGGCCUUCGGGUUGUAAAGCACUUUUGGCAGGAAAGAAAUAGUGCGUGCUAAUACCAUGCGCGAAUGACGGUACCUGCAGAAUAAGCACCGGCUAACUACGUGCCAGCAGCCGCGGUAAGACGUAGGGUGCAAGCGUUAAUCGGAAUUACUGGGCGUAAAGCGUGCGCAGGCGGUUUUGUAAGACAGGUGUGAAAUCCCCGGGAUCAACCUGGGAACUGCACUUGUGACUGCAAGGCUAGAGUGUGUCAGAGGGAGGUGGAAUUCCGCGUGUAGCAGUGAAAUGCGUAGAGAUGCGGAGGAACACCGAUGGCGAAGGCAGCCUCCUGGGAUAACACUGACGCUCAGGCACGAAAGCGUGGGGAGCAAACAGGAUUAGAUACCCGGGUAGUCC